GGGGGGGGGGGGGGGGGGGGGGGGGGGGGGGGGGGGGGGGGGGGGGGGGGGGGGGGGGGGGGGGGGGGGGGGGGGGGGGGGGGGGGGGGGGGUCUUUUUUUUUUUUUUUUAAGCCUGAAAGCCUUUUGCCAUCACUAGACAUACAGUAAUUUGCAAUAUCAAAUACAAUAAUAGUACAGGUAAGUAUGUGACAGCAAAAGGAUUCAUAAAUGCAGGGGUGUCCAUAGCAAAACACCAACACCUUAAAAUACAAACAAACCUCGUGCUGGGUGAAUUAGAGCUGGAACUCACCCGACUGUCACUCUGACAGUCCCACACAGGAAACAGCCGCUACUUUGUCCAGACUACAAAACCGCCGGGGUGGUCACUAAAGAUGUCCCAGUGAGGAAUUUGCCACUCCAUUCUCUCCAAGAAUGGAAAUUUAUCUUCGUUUUGAGAUAUAAAAAUAUAUAAACUCCGAGGAGGGGAUCCCGAGCACUCCUGAGGACUGAGGGAGGUCUGGCCUCUGCCCCCGCCACCCGCCGCCUCCCAAAAAUCACAACACCCCUGCCACCCCUCAGACACGUGGGAUUGUCACACCAACGACAGCUCCAUUUAUCAACAACACAUCGAGGGAAAGCUUUUAAAUACAGCGAUCUGUGAACCAUUGGUAAGCGAUAAAAACAAUCUGCGCCGGGAGCGGUGCGGCCCCUCGUGCUCGUCCCCGUGCCGAGAGCCGCUCAGGGGACGGCGUCCCUCAGUCUCCUCAGAGGACAGCGUCCCUCAGUCUCCUCAGAGGACGAUGUCCCUCAGUCUCCUCAGAGGACGAAUGUCCCUCAGUCUCCUCAGAGGACGAUGUCCUUCAGUCUCCGGGCGCCGGGCGAGUCCUUGUCCCGCUCCCGGCGCUCCUGCAGCAGCGGGUUGCCCUCGUGCCCGCCGCCCUCGCUGUCCGCGCCGCGGG
rnacentral:lncRNA from 1 species